rnacentral:rRNA from 1 species
UGCAGAAUCCCGUGAACCAUCGAGUCUUUGAACGCAAGUUGCGCCCCAAGCCUUCGGGCCGAGGGCACGUCUGCCUGGGUGUCACAAAUCGUCGUCCCUCUCAUCCUUUACGGAUAUGGGACGGAAGCUGGUCUCCCGUGUGUUACCGCACGCGGUUGGCCAAAAUCCGAGCUAAGGAUGCCGAGAGCGUCACGACAUGCGGUGGUGAACUAAAGCCUCUUCGUAUUGUCGGUCGUUCUUGUCCAGAAGCUCUCGAUGACCCAAAGUCCUCAAAGCGACCCCAGGUCAGGCGGGAUCACCCGCUGAGUUUAAGCAUAUCAAUAAGCGGAGGAGAAGAAACUAACAAGGAUUCCCUUAGUAACGGCGAGCGAACCGGGAAGAGCCCAGCUUGAAAAUCGGAUGUCUUCGACAUUCGA